GGUUAAGCGACUAAGCGUACACGGUGGAUGCCCUGGCAGUCAGAGGCGAUGAAGGACGUGCUAAUCUGCGAUAAGCGUCGGUAAGGUGAUAUGAACCGUUAUAACCGGCGAUUUCCGAAUGGGGAAACCCAGUGUGAUUCGUCACACUAUCAUUAACUGAAUCCAUAGGUUAAUGAGGCGAACCGGGGGAACUGAAACAUCUAAGUACCCCGAGGAAAAGAAAUCAACCGAGAUUCCCCCAGUAGCGGCGAGCGAACGGGGAGGAGCCCAGAGCCUGAAUCAGUGUGUGUGUUAGUGGAAGCGUCUGGAAAGGCGCGCGAUACAGGGUGACAGCCCCGUACACAAAAAUGCACAUAUUGUGAGCUCGAUGAGUAGGGCGGGACACGUGGUAUCCUGUCUGAAUAUGGGGGGACCAUCCUCCAAGGCUAAAUACUCCUGACUGACCGAUAGUGAACCAGUACCGUGAGGGAAAGGCGAAAAGAACCCCGGCGAGGGGAGUGAAAAAGAACCUGAAACCGUGUACGUACAAGCAGUGGGAGCACGCUUAGGCGUGUGACUGCGUACCUUUUGUAUAAUGGGUCAGCGACUUAUAUUCUGUAGCAAGGUUAACCGAAUAGGGGAGCCGAAGGGAAACCGAGUCUUAACUGGGCGUUAAGUUGCAGGGUAUAGACCCGAAACCCGGUGAUCUAGCCAUGGGCAGGUUGAAGGUUGGGUAACACUAACUGGAGGACCGAACCGACUAAUGUUGAAAAAUUAGCGGAUGACUUGUGGCUGGGGGUGAAAGGCCAAUCAAACCGGGAGAUAGCUGGUUCUCCCCGAAAGCUAUUUAGGUAGCGCCUCGUGAAUUCAUCUCCGGGGGUAGAGCACUGUUUCGGCAAGGGGGUCAUCCCGACUUACCAACCCGAUGCAAACUGCGAAUACCGGAGAAUGUUAUCACGGGAGACACACGGCGGGUGCUAACGUCCGUCGUGAAGAGGGAAACAACCCAGACCGCCAGCUAAGGUCCCAAAGUCAUGGUUAAGUGGGAAACGAUGUGGGAAGGCCCAGACAGCCAGGAUGUUGGCUUAGAAGCAGCCAUCAUUUAAAGAAAGCGUAAUAGCUCACUGGUCGAGUCGGCCUGCGCGGAAGAUGUAACGGGGCUAAACCAUGCACCGAAGCUGCGGCAGCGACGCUUAUGCGUUGUUGGGUAGGGGAGCGUUCUGUAAGCCUGUGAAGGUGUGCUGUGAGGCAUGCUGGAGGUAUCAGAAGUGCGAAUGCUGACAUAAGUAACGAUAAAGCGGGUGAAAAGCCCGCUCGCCGGAAGACCAAGGGUUCCUGUCCAACGUUAAUCGGGGCAGGGUGAGUCGACCCCUAAGGCGAGGCCGAAAGGCGUAGUCGAUGGGAAACAGGUUAAUAUUCCUGUACUUGGUGUUACUGCGAAGGGGGGACGGAGAAGGCUAUGUUGGCCGGGCGACGGUUGUCCCGGUUUAAGCGUGUAGGCUGGUUUUCCAGGCAAAUCCGGAAAAUCAAGGCUGAGGCGUGAUGACGAGGCACUACGGUGCUGAAGCAACAAAUGCCCUGCUUCCAGGAAAAGCCUCUAAGCAUCAGGUAACAUCAAAUCGUACCCCAAACCGACACAGGUGGUCAGGUAGAGAAUACCAAGGCGCUUGAGAGAACUCGGGUGAAGGAACUAGGCAAAAUGGUGCCGUAACUUCGGGAGAAGGCACGCUGAUAUGUAGGUGAAGCGACUUGCUCGUGGAGCUGAAAUCAGUCGAAGAUACCAGCUGGCUGCAACUGUUUAUUAAAAACACAGCACUGUGCAAACACGAAAGUGGACGUAUACGGUGUGACGCCUGCCCGGUGCCGGAAGGUUAAUUGAUGGGGUCAGCGCAAGCGAAGCUCUUGAUCGAAGCCCCGGUAAACGGCGGCCGUAACUAUAACGGUCCUAAGGUAGCGAAAUUCCUUGUCGGGUAAGUUCCGACCUGCACGAAUGGCGUAAUGAUGGCCAGGCUGUCUCCACCCGAGACUCAGUGAAAUUGAACUCGCUGUGAAGAUGCAGUGUACCCGCGGCAAGACGGAAAGACCCCGUGAACCUUUACUAUAGCUUGACACUGAACAUUGAGCCUUGAUGUGUAGGAUAGGUGGGAGGCUUUGAAGUGUGGACGCCAGUCUGCAUGGAGCCGACCUUGAAAUACCACCCUUUAAUGUUUGAUGUUCUAACGUUGACCCGUAAUCCGGGUUGCGGACAGUGUCUGGUGGGUAGUUUGACUGGGGCGGUCUCCUCCUAAAGAGUAACGGAGGAGCACGAAGGUUGGCUAAUCCUGGUCGGACAUCAGGAGGUUAGUGCAAUGGCAUAAGCCAGCUUGACUGCGAGCGUGACGGCGCGAGCAGGUGCGAAAGCAGGUCAUAGUGAUCCGGUGGUUCUGAAUGGAAGGGCCAUCGCUCAACGGAUAAAAGGUACUCCGGGGAUAACAGGCUGAUACCGCCCAAGAGUUCAUAUCGACGGCGGUGUUUGGCACCUCGAUGUCGGCUCAUCACAUCCUGGGGCUGAAGUAGGUCCCAAGGGUAUGGCUGUUCGCCAUUUAAAGUGGUACGCGAGCUGGGUUUAGAACGUCGUGAGACAGUUCGGUCCCUAUCUGCCGUGGGCGCUGGAGAACUGAGGGGGGCUGCUCCUAGUACGAGAGGACCGGAGUGGACGCAUCACUGGUGUUCGGGUUGUCAUGCCAAUGGCACUGCCCGGUAGCUAAAUGCGGAAGAGAUAAGUGCUGAAAGCAUCUAAGCACGAAACUUGCCCCGAGAUGAGUUCUCCCUGACUCCUUGAGAGUCCUGAAGGAACGUUGAAGACGACGACGUUGAUAGGCCGGGUGUGUAAGCGCAGCGAUGCGUUGAGCUAACCGGUACUAAUGAACCGUGAGGCUUAACCUU
rnacentral:rRNA from 1 species